rnacentral:lncRNA from 10 species
CUCCUGGAUCUGCGGGUCGGUCUCGGCGGGCGGAUUACUCCUCGCCCACAACCUCGAGGCCCCGGGGUCAACCGCGCCCUCCGGGCCGGCAACCCAGGGUUUAGUCAGAUUCCUCCUGACCCACCGCUUCUGGGAAAGAGGCGCCUCCCGUCAGGAGGAUGCUGAGUUCCUCAUGACUGGACCAGUGAGUGUCCACUCCCUGGUCCCUGGCGAGAGAGGCGGGACCCCCACGCCCUCCUGGCGCUCUUUGCAGAGAUGUUCCUCAGGCCCAAUCCGGGAUUUGGGAUGUCUGUGCGUGCUGUGGAGCAGAGAGUUUGCAACAUGUAAGUGCCGUGCGUGAGGAAGAGUAAAAUUAACCUAUGGAGCCUGCUCAUUUUUAAUGUGGAGGGCAGUUCCGUUCCUUUCUUUCGCCGCUUCGAGGUCAUUUUAACACUCAAAUCUAACAUAUAAGAAAAAAAGCCAGGCAUAAUCAUGGCCUUUUAUUUCCCUCAUUAAGGAUUACAUCAGGUGACAUAAGCCAUUUUAACAUACAUCAUGAAGAAAGUGAUUAGUAAUUUAUAAAGGCACAUUAAAAUACCAUAUAAAUUACGGUUUUCUUGAUAGGAUCAUGAUGGUGACUUUAAGAAAGUGGUUGAAUGUGGAUGAAACAGUUUGCUGUGGAUUGUAGCACGUGUGGCAGGAUAUGUAGGCUUGUUGGUUGGUUGUUUUGAGACGGAGUCUCCCUCUUGUCGCCGAGAUCACACCACUGCCCUGCAGCCUGGGGAACAGAACGAGACACUGUCUCAGAAAAAUAACCAAACAAAAAAGACUCAUUUCCUUCUUGCAAAGCUCACAGGUUGGGUAGAAGAGAUAUGUAAACAAGUAAUUGCACUAGAUAUGACAAGUACAUCUUUUUGAACAUACAUAGAUUUAAGUUAUCUAAUACAGUUUGCUUUGUAAUAAAAACCACUUAUCUUAGUCCCUUCAUUUUGAAUUCAACAUUUUUCUAUUUAGUAUUCACCUCACAUUCUUUUUUAGUAUUUUGGUAGAAUCAGACUCUUCAAAACGGUUAAUAGGAUUUCAGAAAUUAAGUCAAUUUUCAGUGCCAGCUAGAAUGGACCUUUGGAUUUAGGACAGAGGUUCUCCAAAUGUGAGCUGGGGACUGUAGACAAUCUCCGAGGUUCUUUCUGGGAUCCAUGAGGUCAAAAAGUUUUCAUGUGUUACUUGCUUUUUUCACUCUUGUUCUCUCAGAA